rnacentral:rRNA from 1 species
GACUAACGCUGGCGGCGUGCUUAAUACAUGCAAGUCGAACGCACCGCAAGGUGAGUGGCGGACGGGUGAGUAACGCGUGAGUAAUCUGCCCUUGACUGGGGAAUAACGUCUGGAAACAGACGCUAAUACCGCAUAUGACCACAGAGCGGCAUCGCUCGGAGGUGAAAGAUUUAUCGGUCAAGGAGGAGCUCGCGUACUAUUAGCUUGUUGGUGGGGUAACGGCCUACCAAGGCGACGAUAGUUAACCGGCCUGAGAGGGUGAACGGUCACACCGGAACUGAGACACGGUCCGGACUCCUACGGGAGGCAGCAGUAAGGAAUAUUGGGCAAUGGAGGCAACUCUGACCCAGCAACGCCGCGUGAAUGAAGAAGGUUUUCGGAUUGUAAAGUUCUUUUUUCCCUGAAGAAUAAAAUGACGGUAAGGGAUGAAUAAAAGCCCCGGCAAACUACGUGCCAGCAGCCGCGGUAAUACGUAGGGGGCAAGCGUUGUCCGGAAUGACUGGGCGUAAAGGGUGUGUAGGCGGUUCUGCACGUCUUAUGUGAAAGCCUUGGGCUCAACCCAAGAAUUGCAUAAGAUACGGCAGGACUAGAGUGUGGGAGAGGAUUGUGGAAUUCCUAGUGUAGCGGUAGAAUGCGUAGAUAUUAGGAGGAACAUCAGAGGCGAAGGCGGCAAUCCGGAACAUAACUGACGCUGAAACACGAAAGCGUGGGGAGCAAACAGGAUUAGAUACCCUGGUAGUCCACGCCAUAAACGAUGAAUACUGGAUGUUGCGGGUAUCGACUCCCGCAGUAUCGUAGCUAACGCGUUAAGUAUUCCGCCUGUGUAGUACGGCCGCAAGGUUGAAACACAAAGAAAUUGACGGGGACCCGCACAAGCAGCGGAGCAUGUGGUUUAAUUCGAAGAUACGCGAAAAACCUUACCAAGACUUGACAUCGCCUGCAUAGCCGCGAAAUCGGUGAAAUAGGAGCAAUUCUACAGGUAGACAGAUGGUGCAUGGUUGUCGUCAGCUCGUGUCGUGAGAUGUUCGGUUAAGUCCGAUAACGAGCGCAACCCCUGUUUUCAGUUACCAGCAUUAAGUUGGGCACUCUGGAGAGACUGCCGUAGAUAAUACGGAGGAAGGCGGGGAUGACGUCAAAUCAUCAUGCCUCUUACGUCUUGGGCUACACACGUGCUACAAUGGCCGCCACAAACAGCUGCAAUCCCGCAAGGGGGAGCCAAUCUGAAAAAAGCGGUCUCAAUUCGGAUUGUGGGCUGAAACCCGCCCACAUGAAGUCGGAGUUGCUAGUAAUCCCAAAUCAGCAUGUUGGGGUGAAUGCGUUCCCGGGUC